CUUUGUUCUCCGCCCGACGCGCCCGGGAUCGUGGGUCCUGCACGCGUGGGCCGCGGUGCCCCGCAUGCCCACGGCCCGCCCCCAAGGCGCGCAAAGCGGAAAGCGGGCCACAUAAAAGGGCUUUCGGGGUCUCGCGUGGACCGCGGGACCAGGCGGCCUCGAGGUGAACACUGGAAAAACAUGACUGAUUCUGUGCAACUUGGAAAAGGAAAAGUCAUCAGCAAGUCCCAUCCUUACCACACACAAAUACAUUACAGAGAGGGCCAAGCUGGAGGUGGUGUUGUUGACAGAAACAUUGUAAGCAGAGAAGGUGAAUCAAUCCAUGGAGUAUCCCUAUCACACUGGAUGAAGCUCAGAAUUGGCCUAAAGAAAGUGGAAGUGAGAAACACACAGGCCGGUCAGAGGCACACAGCUGCCUUCUCUCCCAGCUGACUUUGGGCAACCACACAAGGCAAAGCCAGAGGAACCAAGAAAGGUAUUAAUUGGCAUCUACUGAACCCCGAAGACCUUCACUAGCAUUAGUGGAGCGUCAAACAAGGAAUGAACUCACUAACCAGGAUGGCCAAAGUGGGAAGCAUGAAGAGAAGUGCAUUCUGAGACUUAUUUUAAAGGAGCCGGGGAGCAAGUGCCAAACCCUUCCGCACACGGGCUCUCACUGUCCCCCUCCCUGCUCCCGGAGGUGGCGAUUAUGUGUCCCUGCUUGGCUCAGGCCUGAAGCACACCCUGGCCGGGAGGCAGCUGGCACUGGCCCAGGCAUGAAUCCGUGCCUACCCCUCCGGGCCCCACUUCCAGCAGGUCACCCGGGUCUGUGUUGUCACCUUGAAACAUUCGAGAGAGUUGUGAGCUUCAGAAGGUGAGACGUGUGGGGCUGGGGGCAGGGCAGGCCAGCCCGGGAGGGUGGCUGGAGAGCUUUUGACAGCCCAGAGCAGAGCCCAGGGUCCUAUUCCUGACAACGUGAGCCCCCAGGCAGGCGCCGAGUGGAUAAGAGUGUAGACAGUGAGGCCGGCCGUGAUGCUUGCCAGCACCUGCAGAUAGCAGGCAAAUAAUUGGCACAUGUUUAAAAAAAAAUUAAAAAGCUAUUGGAUGUGAGUAUUUUCUAACAGCGUCUGGCGGGAGUGCCCGGGAGGAAUUUAAUCAGCAAGAGUUGUUUAAACGGGGCUUUGCACACAGGCCCUGGCGAGGCUCGUAAUGAACUCCGUAUCAUGUGCCACCCCUGUCUGCUGGGGACAUUCAAUUUGUUAAUUCUGCAGCUGGUGAGAGAGGUCAGAUAGGAAAGUGACGAUUGUUUUCUGACGUUCCAGCCCCUGCUCACAUCUUUCUAAUUAAUCCUUUUAGGAGCCACGGGUAGAUUAAGAAGGAGAAAAGGUGCAGGCAGCAAGCGUGAGAGAAAUUGAUGGGAAGACA
rnacentral:lncRNA from 1 species